UACGGAGGGGACUAGCGUUGUUCGGAAUUACUGGGCGUAAAGCGCACGUAGGCGGAUUUGUAAGUCAGGGGUGAAAUCCCGAGGCUCAACCUCGGAACUGCCUUUGAUACUGCAAAUCUCGAGUCCGGAAGAGGUGAGUGGAAUUCCUAGUGUAGAGGUGAAAUUCGUAGAUAUUAGGAAGAACACCAGUGGCGAAGGCGACUCUCUGGUCUGUAACUGACGCUGAGGCGCGAAAAGCGUGGGGAGCAAACAGG
rnacentral:rRNA from 1 species